rnacentral:rRNA from 1 species
AUACAGAGGGUGCGAGCGUUAAUCGGAAUUACUGGGCGCAAAGCGCGCGUAGGCGGCUACUUAAGUCAGAUGUGAAAUCCCCGGGCUCAACCUGGGAAUUGCAUUCGAUACUGGUUAGCUAGAGUGUGGGAGAGGAUGGUAGAAUUCCAGGUGUAGCGGUGAAAUGCGUAGAGAUCUGGAGGAAUACCGAUGGCGAAGGCAGCCAUCUGGCCUAACACUGACGCUGAGGUGCGAAAGCAUGGGGAGCAAACAGGAUUAGAUACCCGCGUAGUCC